rnacentral:snoRNA from 2 species
GCGAGGAUGACGAAGAAAAUCAAUCGGAUUCCCAUUGAUUUCUACGGAAAGAUGAGAUCUUAACCAGCUACUUCUGAUUCGC